GGAUCAAUACGUCGGUCGUGCCUUUGGUACGUACUAAUGUCAUUGAUUUCUCCCUUCUGAUGAAUCAUGAUGUCAUUAAUUUGAUGUUGUGGGGAGUCAGGACUGUUACUUUGAAAAAAUUAGAGUGUUUAAAGCAGGCACGCGCUUGAAUACAUUAGCAUGGAAUAAUGAAAUAGGACGUUCGAUUCUAUUUUGUUGGUUUCUAGGAUCAACGUAAUGAUUAAUAGGGAUAGUUGGGGGCAUUAGUAUUCAAUUGUCAGAGGUGAAAUUCUUGGAUUUAUUGAAGACUAACUACUGCGAAAGCAUUUGCCAAGGAUGUUUUCAUUAAUCAAGAACGAAAGUUAGGGGAUCGAAGACGAUCAGAUACCGUCGUAGUCUUAACCAUAAACUAUGCCGACUAGGGAUCGGAUGAUGUUAAUUUUUUAAUGACUCAUUCGGCGCCUUACGGGAAACCAAAGUGUUUGGGUUCCGGGGGGAGUAUGGUCGCAAGGCUGAAACUUAAAGGAAUUGACGGAAGGGCACCACCAGGGGUGGAGCCUGCGGCUUAAUUUGACUCAACACGGGGAAACUCACCAGGUCCAGACAUAGUAAGGAUUGACAGAUUGAGAGC
rnacentral:rRNA from 1 species